CCUACGGGAGGCAGCAGUGAGGAAUAUUGGUCAAUGGACGAGAGUCUGAACCAGCCAAGUAGCGUGAAGGAUGACUGCCCUAUGGGUUGUAAACUUCUGUUAUAAAGGAAUAAAACGAGGCACGUGUGCCUUUUUGCAUGUACUUUAUGAAUAAGGAUCGGCUAACUCCGUGCCAGCAGCCGCGGUAAUACGGAGGAUCCGAGCGUUAUCCGGAUUUAUUGGGUUUAAAGGGAGCGUAGAUGGGUUGUUAAGUCAUUUGUGAAAGUUUACGGCUCAACCGUAAAAUUGCAAUUGAUACUGGCAGUCUUGAGUACAGUAGAGGUAGGCGGAAUUCGUGGUGUAGCGGUGAAAUGCUUAGAUAUCACGAAGAACCCCGAUUGCGAAGGCAGCUUACUAAGCUGUGACUGACAUUGAUGCUCGAAAGUGUGGGGAUCAAACAGGAUUAGAUACCCGUGUAGUC
rnacentral:rRNA from 1 species